rnacentral:lncRNA from 1 species
CCGGCAACCGCUAGGCUCUCUCCCCUGAAGUUUAUUUCUCAAGGGCAAAUCCAAGCUGCUGGGUUUAUUUGCCAAUUCAGCCAACCCCAGUGAAGAUUCAGGACUUCACACAGCUUUGGGGAGCUUUUAUUGCCCUCCUUUUCGGUCUCUCCUGAGCUCCAGUUCUGCCUCCUGGGCUAGCUCUGCCCCACUCGGAAGCUUUGUUCAGGGGUGAAAAGUGGGGAGGAGGGGAUGUUAAAAGUCAUAAAAUAGCCCCUAGCCAUGGGAUCUUGCCUAGCGCCGAUCCCUCAAUACACUGUCUCGUCUAACCCCCGACGCGGGAAGCUGGAAACUCACUGGAAGAGAAAUCGUGUUUUUGUCUCUUGAUGUUUAUGUGCCCCCCCUUCCCACCCCUCCCUCCGGUCCCAGGGCCGAAUGAUAUUUGGCUUCCGAGGAUAAGGACCGAGCGUCAUUCACUUGGGACCAGGCUGCGGCUUCUUCACCCGUGAUGCUGCGCAUCUUCCCUUCUCGGAGGUAGACUCCCGGGCUUGGGAAUUCCACGUUGAGCCGCGUACAGCUGGAUGGGCUGCUCCCCCUUUCCUGGCUCUGUUUUACUGCCAGGACUCUCCUUUUUGUUUCCGGGCAUGCCCUGUGCUUGUUACAAAAUUGUUUAGCCACUUUCUGGGUAAUCAGGCGACCUUAGUGUCUCCGAUCCGAAAUUCCCCGUGGCCAACUGCUCCAAUUCCUACAGGAAUGCAAACAAUACUUACUUCUGUCUCGUGCCUAGAGCUCGCUUCCCUCCCCCUUCGCAUGAAGAAAGAGUCAGUUUUCACAGGUGGGGAACAGUUGUGCUUCUCUCCAAAGACCUUUUCCUGCUGGCAGAAAGGACAAGCCUGACAGUGCCAUCAAGUCCUCUGGUGUCUGGCACAGUUCCAAGCCCCCUCCAGACAAUUAUGAAUUCAAAUUAAGAAUGGUCCGGGCCAAUUUGGGGAAAAUGAAAUAUUUUUAAAAGGAACAGAGAAGGAUAUUUCAAUACCCUACAGGAAUAGUUUUAAGUGGCAGCAGAACAUCAGAGGGAGGUCAUUAAAUCGCUCAGAUUCUCAAAACACUGCCUUUGGAGAAAGCCUAUUAGUGCAAUGCAAUGUAAUUUCUUUAUUUCCUGGCAGCACCAGCAUUACUUUUAUAAAUUUGGGCCAGAUGGGGUGGCACACUCCUUGGAUCCCAGCUAUAAUGGGGGCUGAGGCAACUGGAUCUCUUGAACUCGGAGUUCUGACCUUCAAAGGGCUAUGCCGAUCAAGUAUCCACGUUAACUUGGGCAUCAAUAUGAAUCAGCUGCCUCACUUAAAUGUGAUUCAUGUGCAAGUCAAGACAUCAUCCUGUAAUGUCGUUGGACUUCUGAAAAUGAAAGACAAGCACCAAUGAAGAGAGAAGUCAAGCCUUGGAUGGAGAGCUUGAGGUCCUCCCCACCUCCAAAUGACAAGGUAAUCUGAAGUUGGAUUGGAGACAAUUGUAUCCCCUAAGAAAAUAAUAUCUAAGAGAGAAGAUGGAUACAUCCUUCUAUUUCUGAGGGGGAAGAUUCCAG